GAGAGUGCUUAGAUGUGCAUAUGAGUGUAAGAGGAGCCAGAUCCCUUCACAAGCCUCACCACAUGCUGUGCCACCUUCGUCACCAAAGGAGGACUGGGUCAUGCUUUAAAACUUUUACCUGCUCCUCUGCUGCCUUUCAUUCCCCUUACAGACCUCCAGCAUAUCAACACCCUCCUCGCCUGUGACCUCAAAGAAGCAGCAAGGCGCUUGCCGUCGUUUUCCCUCUGAAGGUGCUAUCUCAACUUGGACAACAAGAUGUGCAGGCGGACACACACAAAUCUACGUUGGCCUGCUCUCCUAGCAUGCGCAGGUGACUGUGUGUCUCAGCAUCCGGUGGCAAUGAGGUGGUGCUUCCAGAGCAGCCUACAAAAGAAGAACCAGUGCGAUGGAUAUUGUGAAACCUGUAUUAGAAAAGCACUGACAAGUUGCUGAUAGCUCGAGCAAUCUGCCUCGUUUGGAGGAUCUUAAGGAGCCUCAUAGCUGGACUGUAAAUAAUUUGUUCCUAACAUCCUUGUCUGCCAUUCAAAAUGAUUUAUCAAAUCAGUUAUUUAAUGGUCUUGCUUCUACAACAUCAGUUUUGCUCGAGGACCAUGACUGAAACUGACCGAUAACACUUUUGACAAAGGUUUGUAACCUGGAGUAAGAGACUGCCCGUGGGGGUUUGUCUUUAUGCCUUCCACCAGAAUGACAAUUAUUUUUAAUAAAUGGUUUACAUAAAAAAGUCUCACAUCACCUUUUUCUAAACCCAACUUAUUUUAUUUUAUUUAGUCUUAUUUAGUUUUGUUGUACUGUGUUGUAUUUUAAUUUCUUUUACCUAAACUUAACCAAAUUCUGACUCUCAACCGAAUCCUUUUUAAAAUAUUACAUCCACUGAGCACAAAUGAAUAAUUCCACAUUUUCUUUUGGUCUGAGGACAAAAAACCCCCACAGGACACAGACGCCAGUGUCGGGGGUUAAUGUUCUGUGUUUUAACCACCCCCGUUUACUGUUUGUACUACAGAGUUGCAUUUUAUAUUUUUCCGAGCUCUAACAUCCCAACACUGCGGUUGGUUGGUUGCAGUGAUAGUUCAGGAGCAACAUUAAUAUAAUAUUAUAGGAAUAACCCCAACAUUAUGGUAUCAGAUAUGUGGUAUAUCCCUGCAAUGACAUGUGUGUAUGCUCUCUUUCUUUUCUACAUUU